rnacentral:lncRNA from 10 species
AUUAUGAAAGCGGCGAUGUCAUAAAUUGUCUGAAGAUGGCAAAGUCAAAUUAAAUUCCAUCGUCAAAAAAGGCUGCCAGCUGGUGUUUGAGUUGAAACCUUUUUGCCAAGAAGGAAGGCGCUAUAUUCCUUGUCCAGGAAGAUGCUAUGGCUCUGCUCUCACAAGUGGAUUAAUGCUGUUAUCAUGAGAGUGGGUUAGUUGCCACUAGAAUGAGUUUCUGAUAAAAGGGGGUCACAAUUGGCUUCAAUGUAUAGCCUCGCCAAGCAUUACAGCAGAGAAGCUUUUGUGCAAAGUGAGCGGAGCACCAGAAGAAAUCUUAAAAGUUUGAGAAGAAAAUAUGGUAAAUAACUAAGAGAAAUCUCUGGUCAAUACUCAACAAGUCCUUCAGUCCAACAAUAUUCCAUACAUGAAAUCCUGCCAAAAACCAGGUUAAAGAGAGAUCAUCAAUCAGAGGACCCAAUUAAGCUGUGACCAGAGUCCUGGCCCAUUGCAACUGUGAACAAAGUGCAUGUUGUUUAGGCUGCUAAACUUGUGGUUAUUUGUUUCACAAUAGUAAGUAACUUAUAAAAAUGCUCUAUACUCGUGAUCCUCAUUAUCAAUGAAACAUCUCAUUAUUCAUGUAAGGACAUUGAAUUCCUUAAAAAUUGAGGUAAACUAUCUUGAAAACAAAGCCCAAGGGGUUAAUGCAUUUUCAUAUACCCUCCUUCACCUGCUAGAGAUCAAGUUAAAGAAGUCACAAUCACUAUUACUGUUGUAGAAAAGGUACUCCUUUUCCUUUAUUCAGGCUCUUACUUGUGCUUAGAAUAAAUGUUUGUGGCUUCUAUGGUUAACUAGCUGAAACAUAAAGGCUUUGGUUAUUGUAUGUUCCCUUCGAAGGCCAUUUGUAGUAUUGAUUUAACCCACAAGCACUUUGGACGUUGUUUUUGCCUCAAUCAUUCAAGCAGGUGGUUCUGUACAAUGUAGAACACAGCUUAAAGGGAAAAACAUAGAAAGACAUCAACUCUACAAGCAGCUCCUGUAGUAGCUCUGGAAACAUUGUGAAGUAACUCUAUGCACAAUAUUAUUGAUACCUAUUUGGAAUUUUCCUAUAAUGGGACAAAUUUGAUAUACAAUCUAUUUACAUUAUAGAAUCUUUCCUAAUGCACCUGUGUCUCACUGACAG